UACAGGGGGGGCAAGCGUUGUUCGGAAUUACUGGGCGUAAAGGGCUCGUAGGUGGCCAACUAAGUCAGACGUGAAAUCCCUCAGCUUAACUGGGGAACUGCGUCUGAUACUGGAUGGCUUGAGUUUGGGAGAGGGAUGCGGAAUUCCAGGUGUAGCGGUGAAAUGCGUAGAGAUGUGGAGGAACACCGAUGGCGAAGGCAGCCCCCUGGGUCAAGAUUGACGCUCAUGCACGAAAGCGUGGGGAGCAAACAGG
rnacentral:rRNA from 1 species